rnacentral:rRNA from 1 species
CGCGGCGCAUUAGCUAGUUGGUGAGGUAACGGCUCACCAAGGCGACGAUGCGUAGCCGACCUGAGAGGGUGAUCGGCCACAUUGGAACUGAGACACGGUCCAGACUCCUACGGGAGGCAGCAGUGGGGAAUAUUGCGCAAUGGGGGAAACCCUGACGCAGCAACGCCGCGUGAAUGAUGAAGGCCUUCGGGUUGUAAAGUUCUGUCUUCUGGGACGAUAAUGACGGUACCAGAGGAGGAAGCCACGGCUAACUACGUGCCAGCAGCCGCGGUAAUACGUAGGUGGCAAGCGUUGUCCGGAUUUACUGGGCGUAAAGGAUGCGUAGGCGGACAUUUAAGUCAGAUGUGAAAUACCCGAGCUUAACUUGGGUGCUGCAUUUGAAACUGGGUGUCUAGAGUGCAGGAGAGGUAAGUGGAAUUCCUAGUGUAGCGGUGAAAUGCGUAGAGAUUAGGAAGAACACCAGUGGCGAAGGCGACUUACUGGACUGUAACUGACGCUGAGGCAUGAAAGCGUGGGGAGCAAACAGGAUUAGAUACCCUGGUAGUCCGCGCCGUAAACGAUGAAUACUAGGUGUCGGGGGUCGAACCUCGGUGCCGCAG